AUUGAACGCUGGCGGCAGGCCUAACACAUGCAAGUCGAACGAGUGGCGGACGGGUGAGUAAUGUCUGGGAAUCUGCCUGAUGGAGGGGGAUAACUUCUGGAAAAGGUAGCUAAUACCGCAUAACAUCAGAUGUGCCCAGAUGGGUUUAGCUUGUUGGGGGGUGAACGGCUCACCAAGGCGACGAACCCUAGCUGGUCUGAGAGGAUGACCAGCCACACGGGGACUGAGACACGGUCCAGACGCCUACGGGAGGCAGCAGUGGGGAAUAUUGCACAAUGGGCGCAAGCCUGAUGCAGCCAUGCCGCGUGUAUGAAGAAGGCCUUCGGGUUGUAAAGUACUGUCAGCGGGGAGGCGUUACCCGCAGAAGAAGCACCGGCUAACUCCGUGCCAGCAGCCGCGGUAAUUC
rnacentral:rRNA from 1 species